UGUCUUUGGCCAUGAUCGGUCUCGGUUGAUUUGAACGCAAGUCAGUUGGUGUGUGAGUGAACUGCGCAGAACAUCGCUGGAAAACUUUUUUCCGAUUUCAAAGGUAAAAUUCCCUUCAACAUUUCGGAAAUCAAGUUAAAAGAGCUGCAGCAGAAGAGGCUUAGUCCAAGGAUGAGUCCGAUCCACGAGAUGUGAGAGGAUGAGUGCCCAGCAGUCCUAGGCCAGCAGCUCAAACCGAGGGAUGGACCGACUCCCUUCCCGCGGCUGAACCCGGCAUCCUACCAUCGAUGUAUACAAGCCACCUGUCCUACUUCUACCGGCAUCGUGACUAGUCCUCCAUGGUGACGAACAGUAACUCUGGACAGUGCUUAUAAAUCAGGAUGUAUAGAUGUAACAGAAAUGAACAAGGAUAGAGUAUUCCGUAGAGAGUUUUCGCAAAAGAGUAGGGACAAUCCAGGAUGAAUGAGUGUACAUGUAACAGUUUUAAAUACCCUAAGAUAUAGUGUUCUGGGGACUGAUGAAUAUAUUAUGCGCAUUAAUCUCUUAGGUGUUGAUGUACACCAACCAACAGGGGAGGACUUGUUGCCAGAGGGACAUUUCCUACAACUCCACUGGAAUAGAAAUCCUACCUAACUGUAGCGCCACCUGUUCCCACAUGUGGUGCCCACGUACAGAUUGUCUUUAGAAUAUAUCUUUUUGUAAAACCUUUUCAUGAUACUUGACCAAUGUAU